ensembl:lncRNA
GCCUAGGGGCAGCCCUGGUUGGGGGUGUUGGGGAGAGGAGGGGAAUUUGGGGUGCGGGUCCUGUCCAGAGCCCAGUGGGAGAGUGGGGCCUGGGGUGGCCAGCACUGAAUCUGGGGGGCACAGCAAUGGAACAUGGUUUGGGGCUUCCUGCCUCCUUGUGGUGGGCACUGGGGCCAGGUUUGCCGGGCGGUCCCUGCACAGGCCCCCAGGCCGCCUGGGGAACCUGGGACUGGUGGGGGUGAGGCUGCAGGCCCGGCUCGCAGAGGGGUCAGUGUCUUGUGGCCACGCUCUUCUGCAGGGUCCAGCUUGCUGGGCCCGAAGAGGAGAAGGCCCUCAGCCCCCGCAUCCCAGGCUGAGCUGAUUCCUAGAGUCCUGUCCACGCUUUUCGUCUUGAAAGCAACCCAGAACAUUUCCAGAGGCGGAUUCUGAACCACUGAGCCAUCCGGAAGCCCCUGCGCCACGACUGCUGAGCCCAUGAGCUGCAACUAUCGACCCGUGUGCUGCAACCACUUAAGCCCUUGUGCCCAAGAGAGGCCCCCACGAUGAGCAGCCCGGAGCUGGAGAGCAGCCCCCACUCAGUCGCAACUGGAGAAAAGCCCGAGCAGCGACAAAGACCCACCAUGGCCAAAGAUAAAUAAAUAAAAUAAUUUUAAAAAAGAAGCUGUCCCAGAACCCCUGGGCCUCCCAACUCUCACACCUCCAUGCGGUGUUCCUCAGGGGGUGGGGUGGACGCAGGGACCUGUCACUGUGGGUCCUGCCGCCCCCAACAGAUGCAUACACUCUGUGACUUCCAAACGGUGCCAUGCUGCAGGACCCUGCACCAGGCCCUGCCCUUCUG